rnacentral:rRNA from 1 species
UCUGCUCAAAAUGUUUUUUAAAUUGCUGUGGUAUUUUGACUAUACAAAGGUAUUGAAAUAAGGUUUUAAUUGAAUGCUAAAAGAAUGGAAUAUCAAAGAAUAACUUUCUUAAAAUUAAAAAUUGAAAUUUUUUUAAUUUGUGUAAAAACAAUUAUAAAAAUUAAAGACAAGAAGACCCUAAGAAUUUUUAAAAUUUAAAUUAAUACAUUUUUGUUUUAAUUAAAUUUUAACUGGGGCGGUUAAAAAAUAUUAAAAACUUUUUAAUUUUGAAAAUGGCCCAUUAUUAAUGAAAAUAUGAUAAAAUACUCUAGGGAUAACAGCGUUAUAUUUUUUGAUAGAUCAUAUUGACAAAAAAGUUUGCGACCUCGAUGUUGGAUUAGGAUACUUUUUUAAUGAAGAUAUAAAAUAAGAAGUGUCAACCUUAGGGG